AGCCAUGAAUAGAUAUUCCAAAACCUACACGAGCUCACCCAUCUCCUUCAGGGCCGUGGGCACAGCUCCCUUCUUUUAAAGUGACUAUGUUUGAACAGGAGCACUUCCAGGGCAAGUGUCUGGAGUUCAUGACCGCGGCAUGGACAGCAUCCGCUCCAUCCGAGUGGAGCGUGAGUCACACAGCCGUUUCAUCACAGUAGCCGCAUGAUGAUUUUCGAGAGGGAGUACUUCAUCCGUCCCUGCAGGCUGGUUCAUGCCCGAGGUCGACUCCACGCAUGUGCAGAGUGGAGAGUAAAUCUUUCUUUUACAGCCAAGUACUCUCCAGAUUCAACAAAAGAGCCUGCUCAUCGAUAGAUCUGG